AGAGUUUGAUCCUGGCUCAGGAUGAACGCUAGCUACAGGCUUAACACAUGCAAGUCGAGGGGCAGCAUGAACUUAGCUUGCUAAGUUUGAUGGCGACCGGCGCACGGGUGAGUAACACGUAUCCAACCUUCCGUUUACUCAGGGAUAGCCUUUCGAAAGAAAGAUUAAUACCUGAUAGUAUGGUGAGAUUGCAUGAUGGCACCAUUAAAGAUUUAUUGGUAAACGAUGGGGAUGCGUUCCAUUAGGUAGUAGGCGGGGUAACGGCCCACCUAGCCUGCGAUGGAUAGGGGUUCUGAGAGGAAGGUCCCCCACAUUGGAACUGAGACACGGUCCAAACUCCUACGGGAGGCAGCAGUGAGGAAUAUUGGUCAAUGGGCGAGAGCCUGAACCAGCCAAGUAGCGUGAAGGAUGAAGGUCCUACGGAUUGUAAACUUCUUUUAUACGGGAAUAAAGUUUCCUACGUGUAGGAUUUUGUAUGUACCGUAUGAAUAAGCAUCGGCUAACUCCGUGCCAGCAGCCGCGGU
rnacentral:rRNA from 1 species